UACGAAGGGGGCUAGCGUUGUUCGAAAUUACUGGGCGUAAAGCGCACGUAGGCGGAUCCUUAAGUCAGGGGUGAAAUCCCGAGGCUCAACCUCGGAACUGCCUUUGAUACUGAGAAGCUUGAGUCCGGGAGAGGUGAGUGGAACUGCGAGUGUAGAGGUGAAAUUCGUAGAUAUCUGCAGGAACACCCGUGGCGAAAGCGGCGCGCUGGACCACUACUGACGCUGAGGAACGAAAGCUAGGGGAGCAAACAGG
rnacentral:rRNA from 1 species